rnacentral:rRNA from 1 species
AUUGAACGCUGGCGGCAGGCCUAACACAUGCAAGUCGAGCGGAGCGGCGGACGGGUGGGUAAUGCCUAGUAAUCUGCCUGUUAGUGGUGGAUAACGUCCGGAAACGGACGCUAAUACCGCAUACUAUCAGAUGAUCCUAGGGCGGAUUAGCUAGUUGGUGGGGUAAAGGCCUACCAAGGCGACGAUCCGUAACUGGUCUGAGAGGAUGAUCAGUCACACUGGAACGUAGACACGGUCCAGACUCCUACGGGAGGCAGCAGUGGGGAAUAUUGGACAAUGGGCGAAAGCCUGAUCCAGCCAUGCCGCGUGUGUGAAGAAGGUCUUCGGAUUGUAAAGCACUUUAAGUUGGGAGGCGGUACCAAAAGAAUAAGCAACGGCUAACUUCGUGCCAGCAGCCGCGGUAAUAC